AGUCGAGCAGAGACGAAAGUCGGUCAUAAUGAUCCUAUGAUUUUUAAUGGAAAAGUCAUAGCUUAAGGAAUAAAAGGUACUUUGGGGAUAACAGGCUGAUAAUUCUCAAGAGCUCUUAUCGACAGAAUUGUUUGGCACCUCGAUGUCGACUCUUCAUAUCCUGAGGCUGAAAAAGGUCUCAAUGGUUUGGCUGUUCGCCAAUUAAAAUGGAACGUGAGUUGGGUUUAGAACGUUGUAAAACAGUUUGGUCCCUAUCUGCUAUCAUUGUAUAAUAAUUUUAAAGAUUUGUUUUUAGUACGAGAGGACCAAAACAAGAUAACCCAUGAUUUGUCAAUUGUUUUACCUAAAGCAUGUUGAUUAGUUACGUUAUUUUUUUAUAACUGCUGAAAGCAUCAAUGCAGGAAGAAAACUUUGAAUCAAAUUAUUUCUAAAUCGUAAGAGUCUAUUACGUAAUAGCCAACCUGUUCGCUGUGGCAACACAUUGUAAGCUAAGUUGUACUAAAU
rnacentral:rRNA from 1 species